GGGCCCGCACAAGUAGUGGAGCAUGUGGUUUAAUUCGAAGAUACGCGCAGAACCUUACCAACACUUGACAUGUUCGUCGCGACUUUAAGAGAUUAAAGUUUUCGGUUCGGCCGGACGAAACACAGGUGCUGCAUGGCUGUCGUCAGCUCGUGUCGUGAGAUGUUGGGUUAAGUCCCGCAACGAGCGCAACCCUCACUUUUAGUUGCCAUCAUUAAGUUGGGCACUCUGAAAGAACUGCCAGUGAUAAGCUGGAGGAAGGUGGGGAUGACGUCAAGUCCUCAUGGCCCUUACGUGUUGGGCUACACACGUGCUACAAUGCUACGGACAAAGGGCAGCAAACUCGCGAGAGCUAGCAAA
rnacentral:rRNA from 1 species